CAGCUUGUUGGUGAGGUAAUGGCUCACCAAGGCGACGACGGGUAGCCGCCUGAGAGGGUGACCGGCCACACUGGGACUGAGACACGGCCCAGACUCCUACGGGAGGCAGCAGUGGGGAAUAUUGCACAAUGGGCGCAAGCCUGAUGCAGCGACGCCGCGUGAGGGAUGACGGCCUUCGGGUUGUAAACCUCUUUCAGUAGGGAAGAAGCGAAAGUGACGGUACCUGCAGAAGAAGCACCGGCUAACUACGUGCCAGCAGCCGCGGUAAUACGUAGGGUGCGAGCGUUAUCCGGAAUUAUUGGGCGUAAAGAGCUCGUAGGCGGUUUGUCGCGUCUGUCGUGAAAGUCCGGGGCUUAACCCCGGAUCUGCGGUGGGUACGGGCAGACUAGAGUGCAGUAGGGGAGACUGGAAUUCCUGGUGUAGCGGUGGAAUGCGCAGAUAUCAGGAGGAACACCGAUGGCGAAGGCAGGUCUCUGGGCUGUAACUGACGCUGAGGAGCGAAAGCAUGGGGAGCGAACAGGAUUAGAUACCCUGGUAGUCCAUGCCGUAAACGUUGGGCACUAGGUGUGGGGACCAUUCCACGGUUUCCGCGCCGCAGCUAACGCAUUAAGUGCCCCGCCUGGGGAGUACGGCCGCAAGGCUAAAACUCAAAGGAAUUGACGGGGGCCCGCACAAGCGGCGGAGCAUGCGGAUUAAUUCGAUGCAACGCGAAGAACCUUACCAAGGCUUGACAUGUUCUCGAUCGCCGUAGAGAUACGGUUUCCCCUUUGGGGCGGGUUCACAGGUGGUGCAUGGUUGUCGUCAGCUCGUGUCGUGAGAUGUUGGGUUAAGUCCCGCAACGAGCGCAACCCUCGUUCCAUGUUGCCAGCACGUAAUGGUGGGGACUCAUGGGAGACUGCCGGGGUCAACUCGGAGGAAGGUGAGGACGACGUCAAAUCAUCAUGCCCCUUAUGUCUUGGGCUUCACGCAUGCUACAAUGGCCGGUACAAUGGGUUGCGACACUGUGAGGUGGAGCUAAUCCCAAAAAGCCGGUCUCAGUUCGGAUUGGGGUCUGCAACUCGACCCCAUGAAGUCGGAGUCGCUAGUAAUCGCAGAUCAGCAACGCUGCGGUGAAUACGUUCCCGGGCCUUGUACACACCGCCCGUCAAGUCACGAAAGUUGGUAACACCCGAAGCCGGUGGCCUAACCCUUGUGGGGGAGCCGUCGAAGGU
rnacentral:rRNA from 1 species